AUACGGAGGAUCCGAGCGUUAUCCGGAUUUAUUGGGUUUAAAGGGUGCGCAGGCGGCCAUUUAAGUCAGCGGUUAAAUCGUGGGGCUCAACCCCAUUCUGCCGUUGAUACUGGGUGGCUUGAUUGCGGUCGAGGUUGGCGGAAUUCGUUGUGUAGCGGUGAAAUGCAUAGAGAUGACGAAGAACACCGAUUGCGUAGGCAGCUGACCAGACCGCAAAUGACGCUCAUGCACGAAAGUGCGGGGAUCGAACAGGAUUAGAUACCCUGGUAGUCCGCACAGUAAACGAUGAAUACUUGUUUUCGGCGAUAUAAUGUCGGAGGCAAAGCGAAAGCGAUAAGUAUUCCACCUGGGGAGUACGCCGGCAACGGUGAAACUCAAAUGAAUUGGCGGGG
rnacentral:rRNA from 1 species